UACGUAGGGGCAAGCGUUGUCCGGAAUGAUUGGGCGUAAAGGGCGCGUAGGCGGCUGUGUAAGUCAGUAGUGGAAGUCCAGCUUUUAAGGUUGGAAGUGCUAUUGAAACUGUGCAGCUUGAGUGCAGGAGCGGUUAUCGGAAUUCCCGGUGUAGCGGUGAAAUGCGUAGAGAUCGGGAGGAACACCAGUGGCGAAGGCGGGUAACUGGACUGCAACUGACGCUGAGGCGCGAAAGUGUGGGGAGCAAACAGGAUUAGAUACCCCGGUAGUCCCU
rnacentral:rRNA from 1 species